AACACGUCGGUAACCUACCCUCGGGAGGGGGAUAACCCCGGGAAACUGGGGCUAAUCCCCCAUAGGCCUGAGGUACUGGAAGGUCCUCAGGCCGAAAGGGGCAUCUGCCCGCCCGAGGAUGGGCCGGCGGCCGAUUAGGUAGUUGGUGGGGUAACGGCCCACCAAGCCGAAGAUCGGUACGGGCCAUGAGAGUGGGAGCCCGGAGAUGGACACUGAGACACGGGUCCAGGCCCUACGGGGCGCAGCAGGCGCGAAACCUCCGCAAUGCGGGCAACCGCGACGGGGGGACCCCCAGUGCCGUGGCAUCGCCACGGCUUUUCCGGAGUGUAAAAAGCUCCGGGAAUAAGGGCUGGGCAAGGCCGGUGGCAGCCGCCGCGGUAAUACCGGCGGCCCGAGUGGUGGCCGCUAUUAUUGGGCCUAAAGCGUCCGUAGCCGGGCCCGUAAGUCCCUGGCGAAAUCCCACGGCUCAACCGUGGGGCUUGCUGGGGAUACUGCGGGCCUUGGGACCGGGAGAGGCCGGGGGUACCCCUGGGGUAGGGGUGAAAUCC
rnacentral:rRNA from 1 species